GAUGAAGAACGUAGCGAAAUGCGAUAAGUAAUGCGAAUUGCAGAAUUUCCGUGAGUCAUCGAAUCUUUGAACGCACAUUGCGCCCCCUGGUAUUCCGGGGGGCAUGCCUGUCCGAGCGUCAUUGCUGCCCUCAAGCACGGCUUGUGUGUUGGGCCCCGCCCCCCGGCUCCCGGGGGGCGGGCCCGAAAGGCAGCGGCGGCACCGCGUCCGGUCCUCGAGCGUAUGGGGCUUCGUCACCCGCUCCGUAGGCCCGGCCGGCGCCCGCCGGCGACCCCCCUCAAUCUUUUCAGGUUGACCUCGGAUCAGGUAGGGAUACCCGCUGAACUUAAGCAUAUCAAUAAGCGGAGGA
rnacentral:misc_RNA from 1 species